UACGUAGGGGGCAAGCGUUGUCCGGAAUCAUUGGGCGUAAAGCGCGUGUAGGCGGUUCGGUAAGUCGGCUGUGAAAGUCCAGGGCUCAACCCUGGGAUGCCGGUCGAUACUGCCGGACUAGAGUUCGGAAGAGGCGAGUGGAAUUCCCGGUGUAGCGGUGAAAUGCGCAGAGUAUCGGGAGGAACACCAAUGGCGAAGGCAGCUCGCUGGGACGUUACUGACGCUGAGACGCGAAAGCGUGGGGAGCAAACAGG
rnacentral:rRNA from 1 species